GACGAACGCUGGCGGCGUGCUUAACACAUGCAAGUCGAACGGAAAGGCCCUGCUUGCAGGGUGCUCGAGUGGCGAACGGGUGAGUAACACGUGGGUGAUCUGCCCCUUACUUUGGGAUAAGCCUGGGAAACUGGGUCUAAUACUGGAUAGGACCAUGCUGUAGGUGGUGUGGUGGAAAGAUUAGUUUCGGUAAGGGAUGAGCUCGCGGCCUAUCAGCUUGUUGGUGGGGUAAUGGCCUACCAAGGCGUCGACGGGUAGCCGGCCUGAGAGGGUGGAGGGCAAAAUGGGACUGGGGAACCGGCCCAGACUCCACGGGGGGGCAGAAUUGGGGAAUAUUGCACAAUGGGGGAAAGCCUGAUGCAGGGAGGCCGCGUGGGGGAUGACGGCUUCGGGUUGUAAACUCCUUUCAGCCAUGACGAAGCCCUUGUGGUGACGGUAGUGGUAGAAGAAGCACCGGCUAACUACGUG
rnacentral:rRNA from 1 species